CGGGGCUUAAUGUCUUGUAAUUGGAAUGAUGGGAAUUUAAACCUCUUCCAGAGUAUCAAUUGGAGGGCAAGUCUGGUGCCAGCAGCCGCGGUAAUUCCAGCUCCAAUAGCGUAUAUUAAAUUUGUUGCAGUUAAAAAGCUCGUAGUUGAAUUUCUGCUGCAUUACAUUUCUCUUGUUUGAGUUUGUUAUUGUGGCUUAUUUCGGAUUGAUUUUUAUCUUUCCGGAUGAUUACUUUGAGAAAAUUAGAGUGCUCAAAGCAGGCUUUUGCCUUGAAUACUUUAGCAUGGAAUAAUAGAGUAGGACUUUGGUUCUAUUUUGUUGGUUUUAGGUACCAAAGUAAUGGUUAAUAGGAACAGUUGGGGGCAUUCGUAUUUAACUGUCAGAGGUGAAAUUCUUAGAUUUGUUAAAGACGAACUACUGCGAAAGCAUUUGCCAAGGAUGUUUUCAUUAAUCAAGAAC
rnacentral:rRNA from 1 species